AGCAGCCGCGGUAAUUCCAGCUCCAAUAGCGUAUAUUAAAGUUGUUGCAGUUAAAAAGCUCGUAGUUGAAUUUCGGGAUCAAUAUGUCGGUCGUGCCUCGGUACGUACUGGCAUCAUUGGUUUCUCCCUUCUGAUGAACCAUGAUGCCAUUAAUUUGGUGUCGUGGGGAAUCAGGACUGUUACUUUGAAAAAUUAGAGUGUUUAAAGCAGGCUCACGCUUGAAUACAUUAGCAUGGAAUAAUGAAAUAGGACGUUUGAUUCUAUUUUGUUGGUUUCUAGGAUCGACGUAAUGAUUAAUAGGGAUAGUUGGGGGCAUUAGUAUUCAAUUGUCAGAGGUGAAAUUCUUGGAUUUAUUGAAGACUAACUACUGCGAAAGCAUUUGCCAAGGAUGUUUUCAUUAAUCAAGAACGAAAGUUAGGGGAUCGAAGACGAUCAGAUACCGUCGUAGUCUUAACCAUAAACUAUGCCGACUAGGGAUCGGAUGAUGUUAAUUUUUAAUGA
rnacentral:rRNA from 1 species